CAUAAAUAACAGCCAUUUUGUUUUUUUUAUGUCUGAUUUUUUGCAUGAAAUAUGUAUAUUCUAAUCCUUGCUGAGAAGUCUUCAAGGAAUAACAGUGUAGGGUUUUUGGUAUAAUAUUUCAUCUCACAUAUUUGCAGAAACCAUACAUCUUUGGUGUUGAAGUUCCAACACCUAUAUCAAGGGCUUGUGUAUCAAAGCCGUGUUCUUCUGUAUUCUAGUGUUUAAAAAUUUGCUGAUCAUGACUGACAGGUUUACAGAGCUAACAUGUUCUAGAGUUGAGGGUGAUUUAUUCCAGAAUAACUUAGGCAAUUCAGAGAAUUUAGCUGCCACAGUCUUCCUUCUCAUCACAGAAAAAAAUGCCUAUUGGGAUUGAUUGCAUUUCCUUUAAGAUUCUUCAUUAGGGAAGGGACUUCACCCUACAGUGUCCCCAAAUAACAAUAAUUUCAUUGCUAAUGUUCCCAUACAGAGAACCAAGUCUGUAUACAGAGCUCAUGAGACAAAUAAAUGCCUGGCAGGAUGAGAGUGGAAAUCAUUCUUACAAGAAGACAUCGUAUUUGACUUGGAUGCCACAAUCCUUGUAAAGGCACUGACCCUGGCCUCCCUUAUCUCCACUAUAUAGUACCAUGAUGUUUAUAGAAGCAAAAGUAUGCAGAAGAGCUAAAUGCAGACACUCAGUUGAAAUCUUCUAACCUGAUCACAAUUUUUUU